rnacentral:rRNA from 1 species
AGAGCGAACGCUGGCGGCAGGCUUAACACAUGCAAGUCGAACGAGAGUAGCAAUACUCUAGUGGCAGACGGGUGAGUAACGCGUGGUCAACCUACCUCUUAGUGGGGGGAUAACUAGCCGAAAGGUUAGCUAAUACCGCAUACGAUCGUCGCGAGGCAUCUCGUGACGAUGAAAGGAGCAAUUCGCUAAGAGAGGGGACUGCGUCCCAUUAGUUAGUUGGUGGGGUAAUGGCCCACCAAGACUCCGAUGGGUAGCUGGCUUGAGAGAGCGACCAGCCACACUGGAACUGAGACACGGUCCAGACUCCUACGGGAGGCAGCAGUGAGGAAUUUUCCGCAAUGGGCGCAAGCCUGACGGAGCGACGCCGCGUGUGGGAAGAAGGCCUUCGGGUCGUAAACCACUGUCGAAGGGGACGAUAUUGACGGUACCCUUGGACGGAAGCCCCGGCUAACGUACGUGCCAGCAGCCGC